UACGUAGGGUGCGAGCGUUGCCCGGAUUUAUUGGGUUUAAAGGGUGCGUAGGCGGCCUUAUAAGUCAGUGGUGAAAUCCUAUCGCUUAACGAUAGACGUGCCAUUGAUACUGUAGGGCUUGAGUACAGAUGCCGUUGGCGGAAUGUGUCAUGUAGCGGUGAAAUGCAUAGAUAUGACACAGAACACCGAUUGCGAAGGCAGCUGACGAAACUGUAACUGACGCUGAUGCACGAAAGCGUGGGGAUCAAACAGG
rnacentral:rRNA from 1 species